GGUGCUGUGGCUUGGUUGGUCAAAGAGCUUGUCUCCUAAAUAGAAGAUCUUGGGUUCAAAUCCCAGCAGUACCA
rnacentral:tRNA from 1 species